AGCGGCGGACGGGUGAGUAACGCGUGGGAACGUGCCUUCUGGUUCGGAAUAACCCUGGGAAACUAGGGCUAAUACCGGAUAAGUCCUAACGGAGAAAGUUUUAAUGCCAAAAGAUGAGCCCGCAUUUGAUUAGCUAGUUGGUAAGGUAAAAGCUUACCAAGGCGACAAUCAAUAGCUGAUUUGAGAGGAUGAUCAGCCACACUGGGACUGAGAUACGGCCCAGACUCC
rnacentral:rRNA from 1 species